rnacentral:rRNA from 1 species
AUGGAUUUCCCCUCUUUUGAUGGGGAAAACCCACAAUUCUGGAAGACGAGAUGUGAAAAGUACUUCGAUGUCUAUGGGGUCGCUCCAGAGCUUUGGGUUCGUGUAGCCACCCUCAAUUUCACGGGCAAUGUAGCCAGAUGGUUGCAACGGCAUCAAUUGCAGAGUGCUUCAUUCACUUGGGAAUCACUGUGCACAGCUCUGUGUUCUAAGUUUGGUAGGGAGCGGUACCAAGCUCAUCUUAGGCAGUUUAAUAACUUGCGUCAGUCGGGCACCGUAGGGGAUUACAUGAUUAAGUUUGAGGAGUUGAUGCACCAUAUCUUAGCUCAUAACCCUGCU